rnacentral:rRNA from 1 species
AGAGUUUGAUCCUGGCUCAGAACGAACGUUAGCGGCGCGCUUAACACAUGCAAGUCGAGCGAGAAAGAGGGCAACCUCCAGUAAAGCGGCGCACGGGUGAGUAACACGUAGGUAACCUGCCCCCAGGUGGUGGAUAACCUUCCGAAAGGAGGGCUAAUACAGCAUGAGACCACGGCUUCGAAAGAGGCUGAGGUGAAAGUCGGCCACUGUUUACAAGCUGACGCCAGGGGAUGAGCCUGCGGCCCAUCAGGUAGUUGGUAGGGUAAUGGCCUACCAAGCCGAAGACGGGUAGCUGGUCUGAGAGGAUGAUCAGCCACACUGGAACUGAGACACGGUCCAGACUCCUACGGGAGGCAGCAGUGGGGAAUCUUGCGCAAUGGGCGAAAGCCUGACGCAGCGACGCCGCGUGAGUGAUGAAGGCCUUCGGGUUGUAAAGCUCUGUGGGGAGAGACGAAUAAGGCCAGUCAAAUAGGCUGGUUGAUGACGGUAUCUCCUUAGCAAGCACCGGCUAACUCUGUGCCAGCAGCCGCGGUAAUACAGAGGGUGCAAACGUUGUUCGGAAUUACUGGGCGUAAAGCGCGUGUAGGCGGCCUGGCAGGUCGGAUGUGAAAGCUCUCGGCUCAACCGGGAAAGUGCAUUCGAAACCGCCAGGCUAGAGUGUCGGAGAGGAAGGCGGAAUUGUCGGUGUAGAGGUGAAAUUCGUAGAUAUCGACAGGAACACCUGUGGCGAAAGCGGCCUUCUGGACGAACACUGACGCUGAGACGCGAAAGCGUGG